CCUGCGCGACUGACAUAAAGAUCAUAAAAUAUUUCCAUACACCAAAUAUAGUUUACCUAUGGCAUAUAGUAUUAGAUAAAAAGACCAAAACUCAAAAACUUAACUUUGACCACUGAACCAUGAAAAUGAUGUCAAGGUCACAUGACAUCUGCCCGCUAGACAUGUACACUUUACAAUCAUUCCAUACAACAAAUAUAGUAGACCUAUUGCAUAUAGUAUGAGAAAAACAGACCAAAACACAAAAAUUUAACUAUAACCACUGAACCAUGAAAAUGAGGUCAAGGUCAGAUGACACCUGCCAGUUGGACAUGUACACCUUACAGUCCUUCCAUACACCGAAUAUACUAGCCCUAUUGCUUAUAGUAUCUGAGAUAUGGACUUGACCACCAAAACUUAACCUUGUUCACUGAUCCAUGAAAUGAGGUCGAGGUCAAGUGAAAACUGUCUGACAAACACGAGGACCUUGCAAGGUACGCACAUAUCAAAUAUAGUUAUCCUAUUACUUAUAAUAAGAGAGAAUUCAACAUUACAAAAAAU
rnacentral:lncRNA from 1 species